rnacentral:misc_RNA from 1 species
GAUGAAGAACGUAGCGAAAUGCGAUAAGUAGUGUGAAUUGCAGAAUUCAGUGAAUCAUCGAAUCUUUGAACGCACAUUGCGCCCCAUGGUAUUCCGUGGGGCAUGCCUGUUCGAGCGUCAUUUACCCCCUCAAGCUCCGCUUGGUGUUGGGCGUCUGUCCCGCUUCGCGCGCGGACUCGCCCCAAAGGUAUUGGCAGCGGUCGUGCCAGCUUCUCGCGCAGCACAUUGCGCUUCUCGAGGCACCGGUGGGCCCGCGUCCAUCAAGCUCACCCCCCCAGUUUGACCUCGGAUCAGGUAGGGAUACCGCUGAACUUAAGCAUAUCAAUAAGCGGAGGA